CCUACGGGUGACAGCAGUAGGGAAUAUUGCUCAAUGGGGGAAACCCUGAAGCAGCAACGCCGCGUGGAGGAUGAAGGUUUUCGGAUUGUAAACUCCUUUUGUUAGAGAAGAGAAUGACGGUAUCUAACGAAUAAGCACCGGCUAACUCCGUGCCAGCAGCCGCGGUAAUACGGAGGGUGCAAGCGUUACUCGGAAUCACUGGGCGUAAAGAGCGCGUAGGCGGGAUAGCAAGUCAGAUGUGAAAUCCUAUGGCUUAACCAUAGAACUGCAUUUGAAACUGUUAUUCUAGAGUAUGGGAGAGGUAGGUUGAAUUCUUGGUGUAGGGGUCCAAUCCGUAGAGAUCACGAGGAAUACUCAUUGCGAAGGCGACCUGCUGGAACAUUACUGACGCUGAUGCACGAAAGCGUGGGGAGCAAACAGGAUUAGAUACCCCUGUAGUC
rnacentral:rRNA from 1 species